UCGGGCCUCUCGCGUCAGGAUAUGCCUAGGUGGGAUUAGCUAGUUGGUGAGGUAAUGGCUCACCAAGGCGACGAUCCCUAGCUGGUCUGAGAGGAUGAUCAGCCACACUGGAACUGAGACACGGUCCAGACUCCUACGGGAGGCAGCAGUGGGGAAUAUUGCACAAUGGGCGCAAGCCUGAUGCAGCCAUGCCGCGUGUGUGAAGAAGGCCUUCGGGUUGUAAAGCACUUUCAGUCGUGAGGAAGGUAGUGUAGUUAAUAGCUGCAUUAUUUGACGUUAGCGACAGAAGAAGCACCGGCUAACUCCGUGCCAGCAGCCGCGGUAAUACGGAGGGUGCGAGCGUUAAUCGGAAUUACUGGGCGUAAAGCGCAUGCAGGUGGUUUGUUAAGUCAGAUGUGAAAGCCCGGGGCUCAACCUCGGAAUUGCAUUUGAAACUGGCAGACUA
rnacentral:rRNA from 1 species